rnacentral:rRNA from 1 species
UGGGGAAUAUUGGGGCAAUGGGGCGGAAAGCUGACCCAGCAACGCCGCGUGAAGGAAGAAGGUUUUCGGAUUGUAAACUUCUGUUGUAGGGGAAAAAUAAAGUGAUGGUACCCUGCGAGAAAGCAACGGCCAACUAUGUGCCAGCAGCCGCGGUAAUACAUAGGUUGCAAGCGUUAUCCGGAAUAACUGGGCGUAAAGGGAGCGUAGGUGGAUAGGUAAGUCUCAUGUGAAAGCCCAAGGCUUAACCAUGGAACUGCAUGAGAUACUGUCAAUCUAGAGUGUGAGAGAGGUAAACGGAAUUCCUAGUGUAGCGGUAGAAUGCGUAGAGAUUAGGAGGAACACCAGAGGCGAAGGCGGUUUACUGGCUCAUAACUGACGCUGAGGCUCGAAAGCGUGGGGAGCAAACAGGAUUAGAUACCCUGGUAGU